rnacentral:rRNA from 1 species
GAUGAACGCUGGCGGCGUGCCUAAUACAUGCAAGUCGAGCGAACGGACGAGAAGCUUGCUUUUCUGAUGUUAGCGGCGGACGGGUGAGUAACACGUGGAUAACCUACCUAUAAGACUGGGAUAACUUCGGGAAACCGGAGCUAAUACCGGAUAAUAUUUUGAACCGCAUGGUUCAAAAGUGAAAGACGGUCUUUCUGUCACUUAUAGAUGGAUCCGCGCUGCAUUAGCUAGUUGGUAAGGUAACGGCUUACCAAGGCAACGAUGCAUAGCCGACCUGAGAGGGUGAUCGGCCACACUGGAACUGAGACACGGUCCAGACUCCGACGGGAGGCAGCAGUAGGGAAUAUUCCGCAAUGGGCGAAAGCCUGACGGAGCAACGCCGCGUGAGUGAUGAAGGUCUUCGGAUCGUAAAACUCUGUUAUUAGGGAAGAACAUAUGUGUAAGUAACUGUGCACAUCUUGACGGUACCUAAUCAGAAAGCCACGGCUAACUACGUG